GCACUGCUGAGUAGUCCCACAAUAGGAUGAAACAGCUGUCCAGUAC
rfam:Schistosoma mattheei strain Denwood, Zambia genome assembly, scaffold: SMTD_scaffold0013040